rnacentral:tRNA from 1 species
GCGCCCAUGGCUCAGCUGGAUAGAGCAACGGACUUCUAAUCCGUAGGUCAGAGGUUCGAAUCCUCUUGGGCGUACCA